rnacentral:rRNA from 1 species
GCGAUGGAAGCUUGCUUCUAUCGAUCUUAGUGGCGAACGGGUGAGUAACGCGUAAUCAACCUGCCCUUCAGAGGGGGACAACAGUUGGAAACGACUGCUAAUACCGCAUACGAUCUGACCUCGGCAUCGAGGAUAGAUGAAAGGUGGCCUCUAUUUAUAGGCUAUCACUGAAGGAGGGGAUUGCGUCUGAUUAGCUAGUUGGAGGGGUAACGGCCCACCAAGGCGAUGAUCAGUAGCCGGUCUGAGAGGAUGAACGGCCACGUUGGGACUGAGACACGGCCCAGACUCCUACGGGAGGCAGCAGUGGGGAAUCUUCCGCAAUGGACGAAAGUCUGACGGAGCAACGCCGCGUGAGUGAUGACGGCCUUCGGGUUGUAAAGCUCUGUUAAUCGGGACGAAAGGCCUUCUUGCGAAUAGUUAGAAGGAUUGACGGUACCGGAAUAGAAAGCCACGGCUAACUACGUGCCAGCAGCCGCGGUAAUACGUAGGUGGCAAGCGUUGUCCGGAAUUAUUGGGCGUAAAGCGCGCGCAGGCGGAUUGGUCAGUCUGUCUUAAACGUUCGGGGCUUAACCCCGUGAUGGGAUGGAA